UACGGAGGGUGCAAGCGUUAUCCGGAUUCACUGGGUUUAAAGGGAGCGUAGGAGGGCAGGUAAGUCAGUGGUGAAAUCUUCGAGCUUAACUCGGAAACUGCCGUUGAUACUAUCUGUCUUGAAUACCGUGGAGAAGAGCGGAAUAUGUCAUGUAGCGGUGAAAUGCUUAGAUAUGACAUAGAACACCAAUUGCGAAGGCAGCUCGUUACACGAAUAUUGACUCUGAGGCUCGAAAGCGUGGGGAUCAAACAGG
rnacentral:rRNA from 1 species